CUAGUAACUGCGAGUGAAGCGGGAAAAGCUCAAAUUUGAAAUCUGGCAGUCUUUUUUUUCUUCUUUGGCUGUCCGAGUUGUAAUCUAGAGAAGUGCUUACCUGCACUGGACCAUGUAUAAGUCUCCUGGAAUGGAGCGUCGCAGAGGGUGAGAAUCCCGUCUUUGACAUGGACUGCCAGUGUGUUGUGGUGUGCUCUCAAAGAGUCGAGUUGUUUGGGAAUGCAGCUCUAAAUGGGUGGUAAACUCCAUCUAAAGCUAAAUAUUGGCGAGAGACCGAUAGUGAACAAGUACCGUGAGGGAAAGAUGAAAAGGACUUUGGAAAGAGAGUUAAACAGUAUGUGAAAUUGUUGAAAGGGAAACGCUUGAAGUCAGUUAUGUUGGCUAGGGAUCAACCUAGCUACUUUUGCUGGGUGAAUUUCCUAGUCUUACAGGCCAACAUCAGUCUUGACUGCUAGAAAAGAGCAGAGGGAAUGUGGCACCUUUGGGUGUGUUAUAGCCCUUUGUCAUAUGUGGCAGUCGGGACUGAGGGAUGCAGCAUGCCGCGAGGCUGGGUUUCUGACCACGUUCAUGCUUAGGAUGUUGGCUUUUAAUGGCUUCAAUCGACCCGUCUUGAAACACGGACCAAGGAGUCUAACAUGCCUGCGAGUGUUUGGGUGGGGAAAACCCUUGUGCACAAUGAAAGUGAAAGUUGAGAUCCCUGUCAUGGGGAGCAUCGACGCCCGGACUUGAGCUUUUAGCAACGGAUCCGCGGUAGAGCAUGCAUGUUGGGACCCGAAAGAUGGUGAACUAUGCCUGAAUAGGGCAAAGCCAGAGGAAACUCUGGUGGAGGCUCGUAGCGAUUCUGACGUGCAAAUCGAUCGUCAAAUUUGGGUAUAGGGGCGAAAGACUAAUCG
rnacentral:rRNA from 1 species